ACUGUGGCUCUCUGCUUAGUCAUUUUGAGGACUGUUUGUUUCUUCAUGACAUGAGACACAUCUUCCCAUACUGGAAGAAGUGCAAGCAAUUAUUUAGCCUGCUAAACUUACCUCAUUGCCCAGAAACACUGCCAGACAAGGCUUGUAGUUUUGUGCCUAUCUGCUUAACAUGGAUUAAAUAGCAUGCACUUGAGGAGGAAAUCUAAGCUUCUUGUGUAACUUAAGGAUGAUGUGCUGCCAUUUUAGGAUCUGCUUUUUAUGAGAUGAGAACACUGGCAUAACUGAUUUUUAUUCAGGGUGGGAGUUUUGAUCUCUGCAUUUGUCUCCUCAACUGCAUCUACAAGUGCAAACUUAAGACUGAUCAUUAUUCUUCCACAUUGUUCUUUUUGUUACAAGGACAACCACAGCACAGUCCUCUGUAGCCAGUGUGUGCAUAACACAAGCUGAGGAAUUGGUCUCUCUGGUUGUUUGUCCUUGAGUUUUUCUUUCUGGGUGGGGAGGGGAUAGAUAGUUCCUUUCAGGUAUGUUGGAAAAAGAGGCUGCUGACAGGAUACACACCUCAGACAUUCAUUGUAGCCCCUGUGCUAUAUAGUGUUGGCAAGACAUAUUUUUGCACUAAAAAGGAAAACAAAUACACAUUGUACUUUAAAGGGACUUCAUUUUCCUACAUGAGAAAGAUGACAUUGCUAAGAAGAGCCAUGCUAGAUCACAUUGAAGUCUCACACUCAGUUCUGACAAUAGCCUCUGGGAAUCUUAAAAAUAGAACUAGUGAAACAACCUCCUCCCAUUGCCACCAUUGUUCUAGCAUGCUUUACUUCAAUUCAGGCAUCCAUAUACAGUACGUACAGCCAUAGAGAGAUGAAACCCACUGAUACAUUUCAUGACUAUUGAUGAACUAAGAAGUGACAUUUUAAGGGAGGCAAAGAUAGCCAUUAUUAGCCUGUUGCAGCAAAACCAAUGAAGAAUUUUGUGGCACUCUACUUUUAUUAGGCCUAAGUGUUAUUCAGUCUACUCCAGCGCUUGGGGUUCACACAUAUUUACACACAAAAACUUCUGUUAGCCUUUAAAGUCCCAAAAGUAUUUUCGUUAUUUCACAGAAGAGUCACACCUUCUCGUUUUUCAAGUUUGUUCAGACAGGGCCCUGGGUUCAUUUGCCAGUUUAGUUUCAUGCU
rnacentral:lncRNA from 1 species